rnacentral:rRNA from 1 species
GAUGAACGCUGGCGGCGUGCCUAAUACAUGCAAGUCGAGCGAACAGACGAGGAGCUUGCUCCUCUGACGUUAGCGGCGGACGGGUGAGUAACACGUGGAUAACCUACCUAUAAGACUGGGAUAACUUCGGGAAACCGGAGCUAAUACCGGAUAAUAUAUUGAACCGCAUGGUUCAAUAGUGAAAGACGGUUUUGCUGUCACUUAUAGCUGGAUCCGCGCCGCAUUAGCUAGUUGGUAAGGUAACGGCUUACCAAGGCAACGAUGCGUAGCCGACCUGAGAGGGUGAUCGGCCACACUGGGACUGAGACACGAUCCAGACUCCUACGGGAGGCAGCAGUAGGGAAUCUUCCGCAAUGGGCGAAAGCCUGACGGAGCAACGCCGCGUGAGUGAUGAAGGUCUUCGGAUCGUAAAACUCUGUUAUUAGGGAAGAACAAAUGUGUAAGUAACUAUGCACGUCUUGACGGUACCUAAUCAGAAAGCCACGGCUAACUACGUG